GAUGAACGCUGGCGGCGUGCCUAAUACAUGCAAGUCGAGCGAAUGGAUUAAGAGCUUGCUCUUAUGAAGUUAGCGGCGGACGGGUGAGUAACACGUGAGUAACCUGCCCAUAAGACUGGGAUAACUCCGGGAAACCGGGGCUAAUACCGGAUAACAUUUUGAACCGCAUGGUUCGAAAUUGAAAGGCCGCUUCGGCUGUCACUUAUGGAUGGACCCGCGUCGCAUUAGCUAGUUGGUGAGGUAACGGCUCACCAAGGCAACGAUGCGUAGCCGACCUGAGAGGGUGAUCGGCCACACUGGGACUGAGACACGGCCCAGACUCCUACGGGAGGCAGAAGUAGGGAAUCUGCCGCAAUGGACGAAAGUCUGACGGAGCAACGCCGCGUGAGUGAUGAAGGCUUUCGGGUCGUAAAACUCUGUUGUUAGGGAAGAACAAGUGCUAGUUGAAUAAGCUGGCACCUUGACGGUACCUAACCAGAAAGCCACGGCUAACUACGUGCCAGCCGCCGCCGUAA
rnacentral:rRNA from 1 species